rnacentral:rRNA from 1 species
GACGAACGCUGGCGGCGUGCUUAACACAUGCAAGUCGAACGGAAAGGCCCUGCUUUUGUGGGGUGCUCGAGUGGCGAACGGGUGAGUAACACGUGAGUAACCUGCCCUUGACUUUGGGAUAACUUCAGGAAACUGGGGCUAAUACCGGAUAGGAGCUCUUGCUGCACGGUGGGGGUUGGAAAGUUUCGGCGGUUGGGGAUGGACUCGCGGCUUAUCAGCUUGUUGGUGGGGUAGUGGCUUACCAAGGCUUUGACGGGUAGCCGGCCUGAGAGGGUGACCGGCCACAUUGGGACUGAGGUACGGCCCAGACUCCUACGGGAGGCAGCAGUGGGGAAUAUUGCACAAUGGGCGGAAGCCUGAUGCAGCAACGCCGCGUGCGGGAUGACGGCCUUCGGGUUGUAAACCGCUUUCGCCUGUGACGAAGCGUGAGUGACGGUAAUGGGUAAAGAAGCACCGGCUAACUACGUG